rnacentral:lncRNA from 10 species
UGACUCACUGUAAAUGAAAAUGCAGGUUUAUGAUGUCAGUGUCAUUCCAGAAUUCUUCACAAUCUUCCAGAUUUGCUGCACAUCAGGUGAUUUCCAUGUAUUCUCAACAAAAAUACUCUGCUAGUGAUACAGCUCUAAUGAAUGGAGGAACACCAGGUUCUUGUCUCGCACGAUUUAGAUAAAACAACAUGGACACAUGUGGAGUGGAGCAGAGUUUAAUAAGCAAGAAAGAAAAGAGAAGGCAAAAGGAAGAGGCUCCCCAAUAAAGACACAGAGGGAGGGGGGCUCCAAAGCUAAAAGAGGAGACUCCACGUCCCACAGAUACCAGCCAGGAAGACAUGAGACAUUCAAUCAACAUAUGCAAAAUGAACAUUGGUUUGGUCUGGAAAAGUGGGACAACUCAAAGCAAAAGGGAGACAACUUGAAGCAAGAGGAGGCUUCCAGGUCACAGGUUGAGAAAAUUGUUGGUCCAAGAGACCAUACCCAGCCAGAAGCCCCUUCUCUUCCAGAUCAUGCUCCAGGUGGAUGAUCAAGAGCCCUCAUCUGGAAUUAGACCUAUCUUGCUUGUUCAGGAUGGCAGCCAGAAGUUACCAUGCUGAACAAGCUAGAAGGAAGAAUAGCCACAGAGAAGGUAUUAUGGCAUUUCUGCCUCCACAUAAAGACUGACAUUGUUUUCAGCUUUUAUUUUUCAUUUACAAUAGCACAAUACGUUGGAAUAACUGUUGCUUUUCAGCAGUUCCAUUCCAGGCUAUGUUCUCUAGUUGACCUCUAGGCCCUAAAGAACAGUUUAGUCAUCUGUUUCACUUUUGAAUCGAUUAAAUUUAUAUUUAUACUUAUUUUCAACGCUCCUUUUUCUCCAGAGACUUUGAGAAGGGCUGUAAAAUAACCAUACAUUGUCCUCAAACUGAGACACUUUUGAAAGUUGAAGAAAUGCUAUUAAUAAUUAUCUCAGGACUACAGGCAUAAAUUCAUACUAUUCCAAGCAAACUAGGACAUAGGGUCAGCAUAACUAUAUAUGUUAGGAUAACACUCUUCUUUCUGAUCCUUGAGCCCUAAAUAUUAAACACAGAUC